UCCAUGCCAUGAGUCUGAGAGGCUUUUGUUUUCUCUGCCACCAGAAUGCAGUGGCAGAAAAGGGGCAGCCCUGUGCUAGCAAUGCAAUCCCAGCAGUUUGAAAGAAAGCCUCACCCCUGCCUCACCACAGGGAGCAAAGUGCUCAGCCCAGGCCCAAACCCAGCUGAAAAAUGCCAACAAGGACAAAAGCAGCGCUGCUCAGGCAGGAGCCCCAGUCCUGACCGAGGUGCCUUUGCCUCUUGGAUGGCUGCACCACUCCAGGGAUUUGAACAUCCACCAGCAAAAGGCUGGGUAGGAGUCUUCACAUGGAGGACAAGACGACCUCAGGUCCUUGUGAACUCAGUGCUAUGUCUCUGUCUGCAUCAGAGAGGUUUGGGUUCACUGACCACCCACCAUGGCAGGGAGAGGAAGAUGAAAAUGAUGGAAGUGACAACCCACCAUGUCACACGUGGAGGGUCCUGCAGCAGCCAGGGCAGUGCAAGCACUCACAGACCAGCACCUGCCAGGGCAUUUGAGGGCAGGAGACCAGCGCUCCAGAUAGGAGCUGCCCAGUCACAGGGCCAGGAGCAGCCCCCAGGAGGGACACCAGAAAGGCAGCAGCAGAAGGACGGCCAAGUGCAGCAGAAGUAUCUCACCACCUCAAAGUGUUUCAGAGCAGAGUGAACACAGCUCUACCAGUAUGUUCCUGUGCUGACCCUAGAGACCGGCUUUCAUGGGAAGAGAGGACGGCAACUUGUUCUCCGGGCUCUUUGGUCUCCCAGCUGAGUCCACGGCUGAAGUGAUUUAUAGAGACAGGGCCAAGGCCAGGAAUCUGAGGCUUUUCAAGAGUUGCCCAUUUCCCAAAAGAGUGCGGCUUUAAUUUGUUGCCUGCCUGACUUCUGCUUGAGGCUCAGCCUAGAACAAGAUUGCCAGUGAUUUGGGAAAUCA